UUUGUGAAAUACACUUGCAGAAUAAGCCCACAGACCCAGCAGUUUCAGCUCAACAUGUCAGUUUACUUGUGACCCCACUGGUACUGACAUUAAAUUAUUACGAACAUCUUUCCAAAGGCACUGGACGGGCUGAAGGCACAGAGGGAGAACAUGAGGCCUGUCGGGUUGUGAUGAGGCCUCCUAGUUUGGGUGGAGAAUGAGUGCCUGUGGUAGGACGUCAGAUGUAACAUUUACCUCUUUUUUCCACAGGUGGAGUAGGAGCUGUUUUUCCCACAAUGGGAAGUUUUAAUCUUCCUCCCUGUAUAUACAUAUAUUUCCAGCUAAUGCAGUUUAUAAACCACGUCUGCAGGGAAGAUGGAAGUUCCUACUGCCAGCAUCCUCACCUCGCCCUAAUCUACUUAAUGAUGUAGCUGGCCUGCUGUGCAGAGACCCGCUUACACACCCGCCGGCAAUGGGCCGUUACUGCCUGAGUCGCUGCAGAAGGAGCUCGGCCCGCUGCUCUGGGCGGAGGCGGGUUACAGACCCGCCGGGUGCUGCUGCAGACGUGACUCCAGCAUUCCACCCGCCGCCCUGAGAACAAAGCCGGUAUAAACCCUUUCAUCCCCAGCUUUCCCUUGUUGUUAUUCGGUCUCACUGAAUCCAGAGUGAACUUGCCUGGGGCUGAAACCCUCCGGUGAGACAAGGUCAAAUUAUAGUAUCAAAUUUUCUAAAAGAGAUGAAUAUAUGCAUUUGUUUAUAUAAAAAAUUUAGAUCUGGGGCAUCAGUAUAAAUAGAUAACAUCUAUUAAGUGAAAAUAAAGGCUUCAUCCCUUUUGAACCCAAAGGUGAGACCAUCCCCACCUCAAGGGGCUGGCGACCAGGGCCGGGGUCACAGAUAGAUCGCUGGGUGAUGCGACAAGCUAGGGAAGGCGCGGUGCUAAGCGACAGCCUCCCGGGCCCCGAGGGAGGGGCCUCCUGGAUCACCGCCCUGUUAGGCGUUCGGGGCCCAGAGCAGGGCCGGGCGAGGGGCGAGGGGCGUGGGGCGUGGGGCGCGGGGAGACCUGUCCCGUCUGCGGUCCUUGGGACCCGUGGGGACGAAGUGGUUUGGUCCCCUUCACAGGACAUUGCUUACAUGCUGGCCUUCCCCCCUGCUCCCCCGACUCUUUCUCGGUGUAUUUAUACGUAAAAUUGCUUUGGAUUUUAAGUUCGUCAAAGCCCAGGAUCUUGCCUUGCUAACGUGCAUUGCACAGCAUGAUACACGGAACUAUGUCGAAACGGCGCUUAGCAAAUGGUUUCUGAAGGUGACGGACGGAGACGUCUCCCGGCAGAAGUGUCCUGGGCACACACCCUCAAGUACCCGCAGCAGGAGGGCUGAGACCCCCCCGCAGUUUCCGGGCCCUCCAAUCACGCCCUCAGGAAGGGGCUUGCACCGCGGCCGGCCCGACCCUCGGACGCGUUUGUGAUGUUCACGCGCCCCCUGGAGGGAACAGUAAUCUCGGCUUCCGGGGAACACGCGCGUGCGUGUCGGGGGUGUGCGCGUGAUGUGCGUGUGCGUGUCGGGGUGUGUGCGUCAUGUGCAUGUGCGCGAUGUGCACUGCGCGACAUGUGUGCGUGUGCGUGUGCGCGCGUAUGUGAUGUGCGGGUGGGGGGGGUGCGCGCGCGGUGUGCGCUGCACUGGGCUGCGUCUUCCCCCCCGGCCCCACCCCCGGGCUGCAGGCGGGUCCCGGCGCCGCGGUCCCGGCCCUGACCCGUCCAAGUCGCCCCAGGGCCGCUCCCGUCUCUCCCCUUCAGUUUCUUCACUACCCGGCCGACACCCGGGUCAUGGGUGACUUAAUGCAGAAUCCUGAGCUGGUCCCCCACCACACUGAGAAUUUUUCUCAGUCUCACAAAUGAACCCAGCACAGCCGGACACCCCGAGCAGAUACAGGGCCAGCGCACAGGCCUGGCAGCAGAGGAGGGAGGAAUCCAGGUCAUACCCUCCAUGUCCCCAGCCCGGAAGGACAUUUCUCUUCCAGGACACCGAGGCCCACUGACCUGCAAAGCAACCUGCUCUAUGGGCACUUUGAGCUAAGGAGGAAGAUCGUCCCAGGCACAACGCCUCGUGCGGGACUCCAGCUUUGCACGGAAUAUUCUUUUGCCUGCCUCCAAGAUGGUCCCUAGAUGGGCCCCACAUCUUUCUAAGAGCUCAACGGUCACUUUCUGAGCGGUUCCGCAUGGAGGGAAGCCAACCUCCCAGCCCAUCAGGCUGCCCCGCCUUGCCAAGAACUCAUCACCACCUGAAUGACCUCCUUCCCUUCCCAACGCGGGUCACUGGGUGCCUGCAGUGGACUCUGUCUUCCAUGGGAUGUACCAGCCUACCAAGGGACAGGCUGUCUCCCGGAGCCGACAGACUGUCGGUCCCGUUGUUCACUUAGUUGUUGUCAGCCUCCCCCACUGGAACACAAGCCGUGUGAGAGCAGGGACCUUGGUCAGCCUGGCCCACUGCCUUAUCCCCAGAGCCUAGAAAAAUUAUGUAACUUGCCCAAGUUUAUACAACUAUUCAUAGUAGAGGCAUUUGUUUCUAGGCCCUGUUCUCUUAACCACUAGACAAUCUUGUCUUACAAACAGCUCUCGGCCAUUCAUUGAUUUGUUCUACAAAUAUUUAUUGAACACCACAACAUGCCAGCUGUUGUUCUAGAUCAGCGGUGUUCAGUACAGCUGAGGGCGAUAACGGAAUGUUCCCUGUCUGUCCUGCCCAAUAUGGUAGCCACGCGCCACAUGCCCAUGCGACUGAAGCGCUGAAUCUUCAUUUCACUGCAAGGGAUUCUCCGCAAGAGUGAAGACAGGCUGCAGACCUCCCGCUGGCCACAGUGACCGGAUGGAUGAGAUCUAGGAGCUGUAGGUUGACACAGUGUAACUCCUUGGCCAUCAUCUGCGUCACCCGGCCUGC